GAGAAUCAGCAGAACCCCAAGAAAAAUUCUACCUUUUUACUAGCCUCCAUUGCCUGCCCUGAUCACACUGAGGACUCAUCUGGAGGUAGUGAGGGGUGGGGUUGAAGGGUCCCUGUGUGAGAAGUCCAUCUGCAAAGUGGAUUUACCUUACUUUUUAAAUGCACUUACUUAAAAGCAGAGAAGCCUCCUAGAACCAAUAUUUGCUAUAUUUGCUUUCUCUCUUUCUUGUUCUUAAUUUGGUUUUGUGUUGUAUUUUGUUUUUUGUUUUUGUUUUUGUUUUUUGCCUUCUAGAAAUGUACCCUAAGCCCUUCUUCAAGACAUGGGCCAGCCCUGUGGUCACCCCUGGUGCCCGAGUGACUUUCAAUUGCUCCACCCCCCACCAGCAUAUGAGCUUUAUUCUUUACAAAGAUGGAAGUGAAAUAGCGUCCAGUGACAGGUCCUGGGCAAGUCCGGGGGCCAGUGCAGCUCACUUUCUAAUCAUUUCGGUGGGCAUUGGUGAUGGAGGGAAUUACAGCUGCCGAUAUUAUGACUUUUCUAUCUGGUCUGAGCCCAGCGACCCUGUGGAGCUCGUGGUGACAGAAUUCUACCCCAAACCCACUCUCCUGGCACAGCCAGGUCCUGUGGUGUUUCCUGGGAAGAGUGUGAUCCUGCGCUGCCAAGGGACUUUCCAGGGCAUGAGGUUCGCCCUCUUGCAGGAGGGAGCCCAUGUUCCCUUACAGUUUCGGAGUGUCUCAGGGAACUCAGCUGACUUCCUUCUCCACACUGUUGGAGCAGAGGACUCUGGGAACUAUAGCUGUAUCUACUAUGAGACAACCAUGUCAAACAGGGGGUCAUAUCUCAGUAUGCCCC
rnacentral:sRNA from 1 species